GGAUGAUAUCUUUCAGUACGUUUUCCAACUCCAAUUUCAAACGACCAUUCUCUUUCUCCAGAAGCUUGUUAUUCUUCAAAUCUGAUUCUAGCUUCAAAUUCUCAUUCUUCAUCGAAUUGAUCUGUUGCUUCUGGAAAUUCAACUCCUCCAACAGUUUUUCCAUAUCUGACACCAGGCGACUAUUUUCUUUCUCUAGAACCUCGGACCUGGCAACUAUACUUCUUUCUGCUUCAGUAAAUGACUUUUGACACUCUCUUAGUUUUUUUUCCAUUGCCAUUCGGUCAUUUGCCCUAAACUUUUGCUGCCUAUCAACCUCCACAGUGAGGUGCUCCACUUGAGUCUCUAGCUUCCGGCAUAAGUUCUCGUAAUCAAAUUCUUCUCUCAACUUCACUGUGUUAACUAUUUUCAUGGCCCUUUGUCCAAACAUU
rnacentral:misc_RNA from 1 species